AACGAACGCUGGCGGCGUGCUUAACACAUGCAAGUCGAACGCGAAAGGGACUUCGGUCCUGAGUAAAGUGGCGCACGGGUGAGUAACGCGUAGAUAACCUGUCUUCAUGUCUGGAAUAAUACGCCGAAAGGGGUACUAAUACCGGAUAUUCUUGCUUUUCAUAAGUUAUGCAAGCAAAGGUGGCCUCUGCAUAUGCUACUGCAUGAAGAGGGGUCUGCGUACCAUUAGCUAGUAGGUGGGGUAAUGGCCUACCUGGGCGACGAUGGUUAGCGGGUCUGAGAGGAUGAUCCGCCACACUGGCACUGGAACACGGGCCAGACUCCUACGGGAGGCAGCAGUGAGGAAUAUUGCGCAAUGGGGGAAACCCUGACGCAGCGACGCCGCGUGAGUGAAGGAAGGCCUUCGGGUCGUAAAGCUCUGUCAAGAGGAAAGAAGUGUACAAUGGCUAAUACCUGUUGUAUUUGACGGUACCUCUAAAGGAAGCACCGGCUAACUCCGUGCCAGCCGCAGC
rnacentral:rRNA from 1 species